rnacentral:rRNA from 1 species
CGGGUGAGUAUAAUGUGGGAAUCUGCCUUUUGGUCUGGAAUAACACGAGGAAACUUGUGCUAAUACCGGAUAAGUCUUUACGGAGAAAGCUUUAUGCACCAUUGGAUGAGCCCGCACUUGAUUAGCUAGUUGGUAAGGUAAAAGCUUACCAAGGCAACGAUCAAUAGCUGUUCUUAGAGGAAGACCAGCCACAUUGGGACUGAGACACGGCCCAGACUCCUACGGGAGGCAGCAGUGGGGAAUCUUGCACAAUGGGGGAAACCCUGAUGCAGCGAUGCCGCGUGAGUGAAGAAGGCCUUUGGGUUGUAAAACUCUUUCGUCGGGGAAGAAAAUGACUGUACCCGAAUAAGAAGGUCCGGCUAACUUCGUGCCAGCAGCCGCGGUAAUACGAAGGGACCUAGCGUAGUUCGGAAUUACUGGGCUUAAAGAGCUCGUAGGUGGUUAAAAAAGUUGAUGGUGAAAUCCCAAGGCUCAACCUUGGAACUGCCAUCAAAACUUUUUAGCUAGAGUGUGAUA